UUUUUUUAUUGAAUAUGGGUCCCCCCUUCCCCCGGCCNGACCAAAAAGCGAAAUCAGGGCGGAGGGUUUCACACACUAACAAUNGAAGAGGGGUAAAGGCCUUUUGGGACCUUUGAACGACCGGGCCCACAGGGGGGGGGAAAACCGGGUUUACCCAAUUCCGCCCUUCCCCAAGAAAGGGGAUACCCCCCAGGGAAAAUUUUGGGAUUUAAACCCUCCUAAAGCCAUCUAUGGCCCCGGCCAUCGGGGAAUAUGUUUAAAAUUCCCCAACGGUUGGAAAGAUAAGCCAUGGCUUCCCCAUUAGGCUAAUUGUGUAAAGUUAACGGGUUUACCCAAGGGUUACGAUGGGUUAGGGGUCUGGAAGAGGGAGAUCCCCCCCACACUGGGUACUGAAGCCCGGGCCCAAGAUUCUUACGGGAAGGCAGCCAGUGAGGAAUUUUUGUUCAAUGGGCGCAAACCUUGACCCAGCCAUUCCGGCGUGCAGGAUGACGGUCCUUAUGGAUUGUAAACUUGCUUUUGUACGGGGAAGAAACCCUUCUACCGUGUAGGAGCUUGACGGGUCCCGUAAGAAUAAGGAUCGGCUAACUUCCGUGCCAGCAGCCGCGGUAAUACGGAGGAUCCAAGCGUUAUCCGGAAUCAUUGGGUUUAAAGGGUCUGUAGGCGGUCUUGUAAGUCAGUGGUGAAAGCCCAUCGCUCAACGGUGGAACGGCCAUUGAUACUGCUGGACUUGAAUUAUUGGGAAGCAACUAGAAUAUGUAGUGUAGCGGUGAAAUGCUUAGAGAUUACAUGGAAUACCAAUUGCGAAGGCAGGUUGCUACCAAUGGAUUGACGCUGAUGGACGAAAGCGUGGGUAGCGAACAGGAUUAGAUACCCUGGUAGUCCACGCCGUAAACGAUGGAUACUAGCUGUUGGGCGCAAGUUCAGUGGCUAAGCGAAAGUGAUAAGUAUCCCACCUGGGGAGUACGAACGCAAGUUUGAAACUCAAAGGAAUUGACGGGGGCCCGCACAAGCGGUGGAGCAUGUGGUUUAAUUCGAUGAUACGCGAGGAACCUUACCAAGGCUUAAAUGCAGACUGACCGGUUUGGAAACAGACCUUUCGCAAGACGGUCUACAAGGUGCUGCAUGGUUGUCGUCAGCUCGUGCCGUGAGGUGUCAGGUUAAGUCCUAUAACGAGCGCAACCCCUGUUGUUAGUUGCCAGCGAGUCAUGUCGGGAACUCUAGCAAGACUGCCAGUGCAAACUGUGAGGAAGGUGGGGAUGACGUCAAAUCAUCACGGCCCUUACGCCUUGGGCUACACACGUGCUACAAUGGCCGGUACAGAGAGCAGCCACCCCGCGAGGGGGAGCGAAUCUAUAAAGCCGGUCACAGUUCGGAUCGGAGUCUGCAACUCGACUCCGUGAAGCUGGAAUCGCUAGUAAUCGGAUAUCAGCCAUGAUCCGGUGAAUACGUUCCCGGGCCUUGUACACACCGCCCGUCAAGCCAUGGAAGCUGGGGGUGCCUGAAGUCGGUGACCGCAAGGAGCUGCCUAUGAAAGAUUGGCCC
rnacentral:rRNA from 1 species